GAUUCCUACAAAGAACUUUGACCAUUAUAGAUGAAUUGGGAAAGUCUGACAGGAGGUGUCUGACCUCCUCAAGACUCUGUGCUGCUUCCCCCUGACCAUCAGCCCUCAAUAAUUCAAGCUAAUAUUUUUAGUUGUCUUAUCAUUAGCUAUCAAUACGUAGCACUCCUGCUUCUCUUGACAAAAUGUCACUUAACUCUUCCACCGCUAGAGUUGUUAAAGCGCAAAACCACGUGCCAAACGCCAUUACCUUUUUAUGUAUCGCACUGACGGCGCUACAUAAGACUGUUCGAGUGGGGGCGCAAGAUCGCUUUGAAACGGGAUAAAAAGAAUUGGGCUUAACGAUGGGCUGCUUUAUCCCAAGACGUUGAGAUAUAGUUUUAUUUCACACCUGCAAAAGGUAAAACCAGCGGUAUGAAUUGUUCCCCCACAUAUUCUCCACUUCACAAAAACCUACCGGACACGCACUACAAAAGCAAUCAGAGGGAAGAGCGAGGACAUCGGAAAUCGCCUCCGGCUGCCCCGGAAUUCCCCUGCCAUCCUGUGCUGUUGUAUUUAAACCCUGCCACACCGGCAGGUGUGGAAAAACUAGGCGGGGUCACCUUCCAUGACACACCUCCGGAAUCCCCUUCCCCGGGGAAGAUUUGACCUUCCUGACAGGCCAGCAGUCAUAGGGGCUGCAGUUUCAUGCUUGAUGAUCAGUAUUGGCCCAAUUCUGGAUCAUCUGAAAGGAAUUCUGCUGUACAGUCGCCUGGUUCCCCGUGCACAGAGGCACGUUAAUGUGGUGACAAGGUCCCUGGGCUGUUUGCAGGACUUUUAUCGGUUACGAAAAUGAAAACGC